GCUGUGCUUAAUGGCAUGGCUGAAUCGCCUACCCUGGGAUGCCCAGUCUUUCUGACCUGAAAUGUUCAAAAAAAUUGGGUCAACAUAUAAAGACUAUAAUGAGAUGGAGUUUGAAGUAGGUUUUGUCUAGAUCAUUUCUUUUCUGUAGUUCACAUUGCUUGUUUCCAACUGCCCCAUCGGGUCCAGGGUCUAGUAGUAAGUUGUCUGUUCUGUUCCUUUUAAAUGCACUUUAAACAAAUUUUGUUGCAAGGAAAUGCCAAAACAAUCCUGCUGGCAGAAGAGAGUUAGGACUUAUUCUUCUUCCUUUUAAGCACAAAAGGAGAAGUACAGAACUGUCACUAAAGGUAACGGUAAGUUUGGCAACAGGGCUGUAAUUAAGAGAGCAAAGAACAAUACAAGUUCUGUGGUGGUGGGGAUUCUGUAGGAAGGAGCCUUGAGGGUGGUGACAGCUUUGACUCCUCUACAACAGCUCUUGCUGUGAACAACAUGGAUUAGUGCUCUUGGGCUCUGUCUGCGCCCGCUUAAAAAUGCUGGAAGGAAUUGUUAAAUACUGGCCGAAUGCCAGCGCUCAGCCAACCUUCAUAAGCUGCACCAAAUCAUGAGACAAUUGCAUGUUGGCUAUGUGCUGAUGUACAGCUAAGCCAAGAUGUCUAGAUUCCAGCCUGAUGUGAUUAAGAAUGCCGUCAUGCCACUGGGGCCCAGUUAAUUUAUUUUGUGAUGCAGUAGCUAACAAGAAGAUGCCUUCCCAUGGCCAGGCUCCUACAUCACUGAUAAAAUGUGAAAGCACUAAUCAUGUGGAUUGUCUGCGUCAUGUGGUUACUCCUAUGCCAGCUUCAGGACACCCCCCCCCCCCCGUUUUGGGUCGUAACCCUGAUCCUAGCACAUGAUUCACAUUUACAGAAUUUUACACCUAUUUGCUACUAGCCUGUUUCUCACUUGGAGAUUCUUGGACCUCAAAUGAGUCAGAAAAUCAGCUGUGCCGGGGAAUACAAAACACGUUUGUUUAUCAUCUGUUAUUUCAAACAUUUUAGAAAUGUGCAGUAUUAUGCAAUUGUCUAUUAUCAACAUCUUUGAGAGGUAUUUUAUGUUAGCCCUACUCAGAGUAGAUCAACUGGUGGUUUCAAUAACUCUAGCAUUGCUGUUUCCCCCCAGAGUUCCUAAGCCUGCAGUACUCUAUGGAUCUGUUGGGCAAGACAAGGGUGGGGAAUUCCUGACUGCUGGUCAAAGCUGGCCUGCCAGGCCUCACCAAUCUGGACUGCCAGCUAUGAGCACCCACAGGAUUCCCCCCCCCCCCCAUGUGUGGGGGAUAUAUUGCAAAUAGAUAAAUAUCCAGACAUCCAGACAUUAAUAAUAAGCACCAGAGAGCAGUGUAUCUGGUGAAUGGGCAGUGCCAAGGCCUGGCUAAACAUGGCCUUUGAGAAACUUGUAUUCCAGAUCUACCCUUACAUAGUUUCUUAGUAGGUAGACCUGCUGCUCAUCUAUGCAUAGCUCUGGCAUCUAGACAUCUUUCCAAUCACAACUGAAACCCUCAGUUGUUUUCCGUGGGGUGGCAAUCACUUCUCCACCAGCACAAAAAUCUUAAAAACAAACCAGGAAGUUCCUUCUCUAGAGUCUGGGUGUUCCACUCUAGCCUUUUCUUUGUCUAAUUAGCUGCUUUCCUAAAUGUCAGCCAUUCCUCAGACUUCACUCAUUGACUAAAAAUGCAGACAGGCAGGUAUAGCCUAGUUUUUCCCAAAACAAAUUUGGUGAAUAGUACCUGCACAAUGUGUGUCUCAUAACUUGCAUUCUACAAGGGCUAGAGACUUGGGUUGGGGUUUUUCCUCCAAAUAAAAGCUAAGAAUUAGGGAGGGGGUGUGUCUCAUCUGGAGAGUGUGUGUGUGUUUGCGCACGCAACUGUUCCUCCUUCUCACUUUACAUGUAUGCUGCCAGCCUCUUCAUAAGCACCAUCUCCUCUGCUGCUCUGCUUCUCCUGCUUUUCAGCUGAGAACAGUCCUAUGGAAGGAGUGGAGUUUGGUGGUGAGGACCAUCUCUUCCAUCAUCGCCAGCCAAGGAUGGUGGCCCAUGUAGUUCAGCUUGUUCUCACAGUGGCCAGCCAGAUGCCUGGGAAAACCCACAAGAAGAAUCUGAGCUCAAGAGCCCUCUCCCCUCCUGUGGUUUCCAGCAACUGAAUUUUCUUAGCAUUACUGGAAAGGCAGCCGGAAAGGUAGAGCAUAGCCAUCAUAGCUAGUAGCCACUGAUAGCUCUCUCAUCCAUGGAUUUGUUUAAUCCUCCUUUGAAGCCUUCUAAGUUGGUGGCAAUCACUGCUUCCUGUGGGCUUCUUGUUGCAGUUUCCUCUUUGUGCACUAGAAAAGUGUUCUCAUUUCUCAGCAUGCUGCAGAGAGAGAGAGAGAGAAAAUAUGUGAAAGGAAAGAGCAUGUGGUUCUCUGGUGCAUCCCUGGUUAUGUCACUGCAGUAUGCACUGGGGUCAGGACAGCACCAGUGGAGGAUGCCUCUGUAGCAUACUGUUUGUUCGAGUUAGUAUAAGCCAGAAGAAGAUGAGAGUGAGAGUUUCCAAGGGCACGUUGUUAUUGCAUAAGCAUAUCUCAUAUUGGCACCUGCCACCAGGGUAGGAGACUUCCUGGAAGCCCCAUACAAGCUGCUCUUGAGCUUCUUGAAAGAGAUCGAGAAAUGCUCUGUAUUAAAAACAACCCCCGUGAUCAAUAAAUGAUAAGGCGAGCAAGAGCAGGACCUUGGCUCAGAUGCCUCUGCUCCAAAUGGCUCCAUUGCUGAGUGCUUCGCUGUAUCGAGUAACAUCUUGUAAGAAAUAAGGCAACUAGAAUAAAAAGUACUCCCUAAUAGCAAUGCAGUAUUAUAAUGUGCAGGUGCACCCCGCCCCCGCUCACACCGCCACAUAAAUAUGUGCGGUAUGGAUUGCGCAUGUGCGGCAUUCCGUAUGGAGUGCGCAUGCGCUGGAUGCCGCACAUGCACAGUCUGUAUGGGCUGCGCCGCCCCGGGUACAGGAGAGGGUUCCUCUGCCACUGCUCACAUCAUCCUUGACCAAUGGCCCUGUUGGCUUAGUUGAGUUGAUGGGAGGUGUAAUCCAGCAGCAGGUGGAGAGUUACAGGCUCCCCACCCUGACUCCCAACAUAUAUAACGUAGUUCUACUCAUCUCAUGUCAUGGUGGGUGGCAACUUCAUAGAGGACCAUUGUGGGAACACCCUCUUUGAGCAAGUGCAUCAGGCAUCAGAGAAGUGAGAUUGCAGGUAGAUGUGCAUACAUACCAGGGUAGCUUUAUAAGGUAUAUGUCUAUCAAGACAUACAAGGUGUAUUUAUAUCCUAUUAGUUCUCCAAGGAACUCAAAGUGUUUUGCAUACUGUUUAUUUAUUUAUUUAAUUUAUUUCUACCCAACUGUUCAGGCAGCUCACAAAAAAAUGUUAGAAGACAACGGACGAACAUACUAGAAAAAACUUUAUCAUAUAUAUAUGUGCUUAGCAGGAUCAACCAUUCUUUCAGGUCCACUUAAAGCCUGAAAAAGAGGGAGCUAAGCAGAAUUCUGAAGGGAUGGAAUUCCACAAGUGUGGGGGCCACCACUGAAAAAGGCCCUGUUCCUGGUAACUGCUAAGAUGAUCACUUUAUCAGAGGCGCACAACAGACAGCAGGGCACUCUUAAGACCAAUCUGAGGACCUGGGCAGAUUCAUAUGGGUGUAGGGAAACGUUCAAAUAACGUGGUUCCCAAACAUUCAGGGUUUUAAAGGUUAGUUACUAGUACUUUAAACUAAGCCCAGAAAUGAAUGGGCGACCAAUGCAGCUGAUGCAAAAUUGGGGUGAUAUAAUCAAACAGGCUUGUAUUUUGCAUCAGCUCAAGUUUGCAGACUGUCUUUUAAGGCAUCACCACAUAGAGAUUAUGACAGUAAUGUAGGCUGGGUAUUUAAGAGAGUGUGUAUAAGAAAGAAGCCCAUUUUUCGCAGAUAGUGGUCCUUGGAGUGCUCUUAGUUGGGCAGCCCUCUUCAAAAUCUUUACUGAACUCCCCACCCCCAAUGCACAGCAAAGGGGCUGGUAAAUUAGAUGCUAACACCCACUAUCAGUUCUUGCAAAGCACAUGCAGGUGGAAGCAGAAUGUAUCCCAUAUUUAGAGCAGAAACACAGGCCUGUCUUCUCCUUCAUUACUGGUGAGGAUGAGACACCUUUUACACGUGUCUCAAGGCCAUUUACAAACACACUAUCAAAACAGAUAAUAUAGUUUUUAAAACAGUGCAGAUGCAACAACUAAAGAUAGGUCUUUACAAAAAUAACACCCAAGGCCAUUUCAUCCAGCUUGGAAAGUGUGUCCAAACAAAAAGGCCUUCAGUCAUUCUCAGAAAGGACAAAUAGUGAGUGUCUGUCGUAUCUCAACAGGGACGCUGUUUCGCAAAAUGGGGCCAGCCACUCUGAAAGCCCUGCUCCAAGUUACUGUAGAACAGUGGAGAGAAAGAAAGAAGAUGACUUCUGGAGAGCGUUGACCUGGAAAAGUAAUGCAAGAAGAGUAUCACCCGGGUAUAAUAACCGCUGGUGGUUGCAUCAGAGCCUCUCUCUUUAAACAAAUGCUCCCCAUGCCAGCAGCUUCCAAGCAGAGUGCUUGAAAUAAUAGCCACAUGGGGCACGUCACUAGAUUUUCCGAGUUCUUUGUGCAUAGCGAGAAGAAAUAUGCAUUUGCUCAAAGCUUCCCCUCUAUUAAUUGCUGUGUGAACUUCCUCUAUAAAAAUCACCCGGGUCUCAACAGUAAAAUGUUCCAAAAAUAAAUACAACAAACCAUGUUCACAUUACAGGUCUAAUUUAAAUGUAAAAGCAAGCCAACGGCAAAAGCAAGCCAACGUCCAAUAACAACAGCAAACAGAAAAAGCACUCAGCAACCACAGAAAACAGCAGAAAUGCAUUUCUAAAGGAGACGCAGAUGGCAGAAUGGACACUCUUUCAACCACCUGGGAGCAUUUACCUCUCUUGAAGGAGUUAACAUACUCGAAAACCAUGUUGGUUAUAUAUGACACAGGUCCGAAUAAUCUGCUUAUCACAGAUGUUUUCAUGGAUUUCCCCCCUCUCUCUUUCUAAUGUCGAGGGAGCUGAAGCACUGAAAUUCUGAUAAUCCUCACUGUACCUGCUGCUGCUGAUCCUUCGUGGGGAGGUUAUCACUCCACAGAUUAGAGUCUUUUUGAAAUGCUAUUUCAGUAGGCUGCUGCAUUCUCCUACAAUUAUUUCAAAGUUCACUAGAUUCUCUCUCAAUGAAUAAAUGAUACCGUUGCUCUUG